rnacentral:rRNA from 1 species
UGUUCGGGUUAAGUCCCGUAACGAGCGCAACCCUUGUCCUUAGUUACCAGCACGUUAUGGUGGGCACUCUAAGGAGACUGCCGGUGGACAAACCGGAGGGAAGGUGGGGAUGACGUCAAGUCAUCCAUGGCCCUUACGGGCCUGGGCUACACACGUGCUACAAUGGUCGGUACAAAGGGUUGCCAAGCCGCGAGGUGGAGCUAAUCCCAUAAAACCGAUCGUAGUCCGGAUCGCAGUCUGCAACUCGACUGCGUGAAGUCGGAAUCGCUAGUAAUCGUGAAAUCAGAAUGUCACGGUGAAUACGUUCCCGGGCCUU